GGGGAUAUAGCUCAGUUGGGAGAGCGCUUGUCUGGCAGACAAGAGGUCACCGGUUCGAACCCGGUUAUCUCCACCA
rnacentral:tRNA from 1 species